AAAAGAGCAGCAAACCCCAUAUGAACAUCAAUCACGUUUUGAGGGAACACUCCCUUUGCUAUACUCCAGAGGAAGAUUAAUUGGCUGGCCUUAAGUUUCUGCUUGGAGAAGAAAUAACAUUUCACGAUCAGAAACAGAAACUCAAUUUUCUGAGAAUGAAGAGCCCAAUGCCGUAUCAACCAGAGCUAAAGAGACAGGCUUGGCAGCUGUUGGAGCUGUGAACUGUACUCACAUGGGUGAGAGCUGCAACAGGAUGUUCUUUCAUGAGGAUCUCACAGGUGUUGGAGUUCCAAUCUAACCCCUGCCUCCUCACAAGGUCAGUACUGUGGCUAAACUCUGAAGACCUACGGGUGUGAAGAAAGCCCCA
rnacentral:lncRNA from 1 species